rfam:Gossypium raimondii chromosome 12, whole genome shotgun sequence.
CGCGACAUGGUCGGGUGGUAAUGCGAGGGAUUGCAAAUCCCUUAUUCCCCAGUUCAAAUCCAGGUGUUGCCU